rnacentral:rRNA from 1 species
CCUACGGGUGGCAGCAGUGAGGAAUAUUGGUCAAUGGGCGAGAGCCUGAACCAGCCAAGUCGCGUGAGGGAGUACUGCCCUAUGGGUUGUAAACCUCUUUUGUCGGGGAGCAAAAGCCGGACGUGUCCGGCUGUGAGAGUACCCGAAGAAAAAGCAUCGGCUAACUCCGUGCCAGCAGCCGCGGUAAUACGGGGGAUGCGAGCGUUAUCCGGAUUUAUUGGGUUUAAAGGGUGCGCAGGCGGAUUUUUAAGUCAGCGGUAAAAUCGUGGGGCUCAACCCCAUCCAGCCGUUGAAACUGGGGAUCUAGAGUGUGCGAGAGGUAUGCGGAAUGCGUGGUGUAGCGGUGAAAUGCAUAGAUAUCACGCAGAACCCCGAUUGCGAAGGCAGCAUACCGGUGCACAACUGACGCUCAGGCACGAAAGCGUGGGUAUCGAACAGGAUUAGAUACCCCUGUAGUC